ACGGGGUGCAGCAGGCGCGAAACCUCCGCAAUGUGAGAAAUCGCGACGGGGGGAUCCCAAGUGCCAUUCUUAACGGGAUGGCUUUUCAUUAGUGUAAAGAGCUUUUGGAAUAAGAGCUGGGCAAGACCGGUGCCAGCCGCCGCGGUAAUAC
rnacentral:rRNA from 1 species